UUAAUGGACGGUCAGGAUCGUUUUUACGGUGCACGCCAUCCUUCCAUUGCCCGCUGUCACGUAUAAGUACUCCUAUGAAGGCUUCCCCGCCUUUGGAGUGCCCUGCCGACUCGAGACCAUGGUGGAGUCCCCGAGGCUGGAGCGGGAAAUCCGAAGCCGAAGCCUCGCGCCCGGUGACGUUCCACGAGAGCUGGUGGCAGCGGAGGCGGGGAAGACGUGGAUCCUAGAUUUCCUUUACCGUCCUCACGUACAGGACGGCGAAAUGGGCGGUUUUGCUCCGCAAACGCGAGACCUUUCUGCUCUUUCCUCUUGGGCUAUUUUCCGGCGGAAGUUCCUCCCCAGAUGGCUCUUCCGUUCCAGAAGCGGUCCAUCGACGGCGGUGGCGAACAGACGGGGCUCGGAAUGGGUGGUACGGUGUUCUUCUCGAGGUGUCGCCGAAAGAAGAGGAAGGGGAAAGAAAGGACAGAGGAGGGGGAGGAGAAUAGAAGAGAAAAGGUGGCCUCUCCUGAUUCGAAGAUGACGAAGGGGAUCAAUGGAGGGGCUGGCGUCCGCUCGUUGGAUGCGUUCGCAGGUACGUGUGGAUGUCGAGUCCUCUUUGAGUUCUUAUGUGUAGUUGUAGGCUAAGUGUUCGACGUUUGGUUCAUGCUAGAACAAAAAGGAAGGAGUCUCAAAACUCUCUAAGAACUCACCUUUUUAUGAAGCAUGCCCACGAGUCUCUUCCCCGAAACUUCGUCAUCAUGAUAGUCUCUCAAACUCCAAAGGAGAGCAAAGAAGAGAGUCACAAUAGAGAAUAUUUACCGGAUAAAAAGGAAAACUGGGGUUUGGAUAGAGAUGCUUGAUGUUUCUUCCACCAUUUCUCUCGCAUGGGAAUUAAAGGCUACAUUAGAGAAAAGAAUUAGGUAAAGAAGGAGCUAGGAAGCCGAAAGAGAUAUCUUUUGACAUAGGAAUGGGAGUGGGUAUGGCUUUCAUCCUGUUCAGGUGGGCGACUGAAUUGAACAAAAUGAAGGAGCAAUGAAUUCAAAUGGAAAUGCUGUUCAAAUAAAUUAAAGAUGUAAUCCCAAAGAUAGGCGAUGAUUUUGGCAUCUUAAGAUCAAAUCAUGAUAUCACAUCAUCAUCAUCAGAUUGUCGUGGGAAUGCCAGUAAAUGCAACCAGAAUCAAGGGGCAAGUUUUCAUAUGGAAGAGGCUAAGUCUACCAUUGAAUCUGAUGGGCAUUCGAAUUAUGUGAUUAGCACCGAGAAACGAAAUAUAGAUCAACUGGAAGCAAAGUUAGAGUUCGAAUUAGAGUAGCUGCAGCUUGAGUUGGACAGGGAGGAUUCAGUAAUGAUCUCAGAAUGAGGGCAAAUAGAGGUAUUCUUCUUCUCAGUAAAUCUGUUCUCCUUAUUGGGAAUGUUGUUUUAAUAACUAGCAUUUGUUGAAAUGGAGAAAUUAUUUUGCAUAUACCAUGAAAUUUAGCUUAGAUCAUAAUAUGACCCACUAACUUUUUAAUGAACCUAAUGAACCUGCCUCACCUUUUUUUAAAAAUUUUGGAACAUUCUUUUAUGAUUCCUAUAUAAUAGUUUUGUUGAUACCAAGUAGACUAGGUACAGUAUAAAUUACUGAUUAUAAGGCUUCUUGGGCCCCAUAGUGAGUUCGAUAUGAUAAGUCAUCAUUUGGGAUGGUCCAGAUUGUGUUUUGGGUUAUAUAUCUCUUCGCAAGCCAUUUGACUCAAAGGGAAUCUUCUUGGAGGCUAUCGCGCAAAUGAAUUGAAGUAAAUAUGCUUGGUUUAGGGUAUAAAGAUUUUGAAUGCCAUGUUCCUCUCCUUGUAAUGGAUUGUAUAUGUCUUGCCAAGCAACUUUGUGGAGGCCUUUAAUGUCAUCUCCUUGUCAUAAGAAAUGAGCCAUUAUUUGUUCUAGUCGAUGAAUUACCCUCCGUGCCAAGCAACUCCUAGUGUAUGCUUGUGGAGCUUCAAGAAUAUAUUGCAAAUAAAGGUACAUGUUGGAUCUAUGAUUUCUCAUAUAAUUAGAAAUGAGGACACCUUUCUUUGGCUUGAUCCGUGACACGCAAGAGGUAUUCUAAAACUUGUUGUUGGGGACUAUAUUGAUUAUGAAAUUUCCACUAACCCUUUAGCUAGAGUUUUUGAAAUUUGCAAGGAUGGAGUGUGGGUUGUGGCCACCCCCAUUCACCAGCUUUAAUCCUCGUUUGGGAUGCUAUUCUUGACAUUAUCACUUUCCCUCAUUCUCGGAAUGAUUGUGUGGUGUGAAAGCCUUCAACUUUUGGAGUUUUUACACUUAAAUCAGCUUACACAGCAAUGGAUGAGCCUUCAAAUAUGGUUGCAUGAAGUAAUCUUGUCAGGUUUAAGGGCAACAUACCAAGGUAUUCUUUCAUCUCUUGGCUUGUUUGUUUAAACAUGUUGAGCACUUUGGAUAGAUUGAUAAAGUGGAGAAUCUGCACCAAUUCCUCUUGCUACUUAUGCAGUCAAGAAGAUGAAAGCAUGCAUCGCCUAUUUUUUUGAUUGCACUUUCUCAUCACUGAGUGUGGGGAGCCAUUUUGAGCAGAUGCGACCUAUCCCACUCGCCACAGGGGUGGAACAUAGAAUUUAUACGGGUAUGCAAUCAUUGGAAAAACGAGAGUUUCAUAAGUCGAAUUGAGAAACUAUCUUUCACAGCUAUCAUAUAUCAUAUCUGGGUUUAGAGGAAUCACAUAUUUGAGUCAAACACCUAAAGAUCUCUAGAUAUUAUUAUUUCAGUCUUUGUGCAAGAUGUGAGUAGGAGAAUGCAAAACGAAUCCACGAUUGUAGUAGACAUCGCAUCAACUCAAGCCAUUGUCGCAAAUUGGAAUCCAUGCCCAAACUUCGCAACACUUAAGUCUACGUGGCACCACUAGACCCCUCCCAUUGAGGGUAUUAUUGUCAUAUAUACUGAUGCCUCUGUCUCUACUUCCAUAGUUGGGUUGGGAUGUGUUUUUUGAGACUAUUUUGGAAGCCCCAUUUGUGCUAUGACGAAAAGCAGAUCAAAGGAAGAUCUCAUUCUACUACAUGAAUUAUAAGCUAUCCUCCUUGUCCUUUUGAAGCUAAAAGAAGAAAAUUUCGCUUGAUCCAUCUUUGGUUUGAUUCACAAGUCGUUGUGGAUAUUCUCAACAGUUGUAAUAAUGUGUCAGGGUGUUACCAAAUUACUUUAAGAAUAUAUUCAUGCUAUUUAAGAGAGCUUCGAGAUUCUGGAAUUCUUUUUCAUCCUUUAAGAAGCUAAGAAGUCAGCUGACUUCCUCACCCAUCUGUGUAAGUCCAAAGAGAAGAUCUUGCUACCCCCCUCAGGGUUUCCGGACGAAUUGUGGAGGUUGAUUGAAGUUGAUGUGUAUAAGAGGGAAUAUGUUAGACUAGUGUGAUUCUCAUGGGUUCUUUGUAUGACUUAGUUACAUCUCUAUAUAUCUAGUAGUUAUAUAUGAUGAUGAUGUGUACAUGUAAUAUGUGAUGUGGACAGAUGAUCAUAAACCGUGUGACGUAUAUGUACAUGUGAUAUGAUUAUUAUUAUUAUUGGGGCCUACGAGCUUUCAAUUUUAUUCUCGUUUAUUGUUGAGCUUAUGUGCUUAUGAUUAAGUUAUAAUCACAUGAGGAGGCUCUACGGGAGCGUAGAGGCAAUAGCGAGAACCACGAGGUCGAGAUGGACCAUCGCGAUGCAUGAAGAUGCGUAGAGAUGCCGAUUGAACCGAUGAGAACGAGAUGAAUGAUCAUAGGGCAUGGAGAUGCGCCACUGCAUACAUAAAUUUUGAUGUGAGUGAUUA